rnacentral:lncRNA from 1 species
CUGAGGUGGGAGGGCACGGUGCACAACGGUGCCCAUGCCAUCCCAGCGCUCUAGCCUGAUGCAGCCAAUCCCAGAGGAGACCCGCAAGACCCCUUCUGCGGCAGCAGAGGACAAACGGUGGUCCAGGCCUGAAUGCCAGCUAUGGACGGGGAUGUUGCUCCUGGGCACCUGCUUGCUGUACUGCACGCGUGUCACCAUGCCUGUCUGUACCGUUGCCAUGAGCCAGGACUUCGGCUGGAACAAGAAGGAGGCUGCAUUGGAGGUGAGAAGGUCAUCUUGCUGUCAGCCUCUGCCUGGGGCUUCAUCACUGUCACCACACCACUGCUUGCCCACCUCGGCAGCGGCCACCUGGCCUUCGUGACAUUCUCUCGAAUACUCACCGGUCUGCUCCAAGGU